rnacentral:rRNA from 1 species
GACGAACGCUGGCGGCGUGCUUAACACAUGCAAGUCGAACGGAAAGGCCCUGCUUUUGUGGGGUGCUCGAGUGGCGAACGGGUGAGUAACACGUGAGUAACCUGCCCUUGACUUUGGGAUAACUUCAGGAAACUGGGGCUAAUACCGGAUAGGAGCUCCUGCUGCAUGGUGGGGGUUGGAAAGUUUCGGCGGUUGGGGAUGGACUCGAGGCUUAUCAGCUUGUUGGUGGGGUAGUGGCUUACCAAGGCUUUGACGGGUAGCCGGCCUGAGAGGGUGACCGGCCACAUUGGGACUGAGAUACGGCCCAGACGCCUACGGGAGGCAGCAGUGGGGAAUAUUGCACAAUAGGCGGAAGCCUGAUGCAGCAACGCCGCGUGCGGGAUGACGGCCUUCGGGUUGUAAACCGCUUUCGCCUGUGACGAAGCGUGAGUGACGGUAAUGGGUAAAGAAGCACCGGCUAACUACGUG